GGAUGUGAGCACAAUCUUAUUGUGAUGUCCGUCAUCCCAUUGAUUACCACGGUUGAUCUGGUUGAUCUGGUUGAUCUGGCUAGGUAGGUGGGUGUCCCUUCCUUCCUCAACAUUCCACUUAUAUUCCUCCCAAAGGUGUGCACUUGGUCAAAGAGGACACCCACUCCCUUCCUCAGCCAAGGGUAUUGGAGUAGGUGCACUUUGCUGCUAGAACCUCUAACCAUGCAUUCAAGAGACACAUAGUUUGGGCCUGUUCAUUAUCUGCUAAUCAGAAGCACUGGGUAUGGAAUCAGU
rnacentral:snRNA from 1 species